rnacentral:rRNA from 1 species
UACGGAGGGUGCAAGCGUUGCUCGGAAUUAUUGGGCGUAAAGGGUAGGUAGGUGGUCUUAUUUGUCUGGGGUGAAAGCCUUGAGCUUAACUCAAGAAGUGCCUCAGAAACGGUAAGACUGGAGUCCUGGAGAGGGUCGUGGAAUUCCCGGUGUAGCGGUGAAAUGCGUAGAGAUCGGGAGGAACACCAGAGGCGAAAGCGGCGACCUGGACAGGCACGUGACACUCAACUACGAAAGCGUGGGGAGCAAACAGG